rnacentral:tRNA from 1 species
AGGGCUAUAGUUAAAUAUAACAUUUGAUUUGCAUUCAAAAAGUAUUGAAUUUAUUCAAUUAGCCUUA